GGUCGCGGUUGUGUGGGUGGUGCGUGCGCGUGCGUGGGUGGGUGGGGUGGCCCUGGGAAAGGUGCUCCCGGAGGGAAGGCGUCCAAGCCGAAUCUACCCAGAGAAAUGAAAACUCCAUCCACACGAAGACUAUACGAAUGUCCACAGCAGCAGGAUUCACUAAAGCCCCAAACUGGAAGCGACACAGGUGUCCGCGGACAGAAGAGUGGACAAACAAAUGCGGUCCAUGCAUGCAACGGAGUGUGCUUCAGCCAUAAAGUGGAACGAGGUCCUGAGGCAGCCCGCAGCGAGGAUGGAGCCUGAACACACGCCGAAGGACCUGGGAGUGUCUGGAGCUCAGGUCACCAGCUGCCAGGGCUGGGGAGGAGCUUGGGGAGAAGGUGGGACUGAUGGGUUCCAGAGGACUUCUUGGGGUGAUGGAGAGAGUCUAAAAGCAGAUCAUUGCACAACCUUGAUCUGCUGGAAAGCAAAUGCCAUCACAGCACACACUUAACAGUGAGUCUGGCAGUUUGUAAAUUACACUCCUGUGGAGCUGCACCCAUCUCA